AACGAACGCUGGCGGCAUGCCUAACACAUGCAAGUCGAACGAGACCUUCGGGUCUAGUGGCGCACGGGUGCGUAACGCGUGGGAACCUGCCCUUAGGGUCGGAAUAACUCCCCGAAAGGGGUGCUAAUGCCGGAUAAUGUCUUCGGACCAAAGAUUUAUCGCCUUUGGAUGGGCCCGCGUUGGAUUAGCUAGUUGGUAGGGUAAAAGCCUACCAAGGCGACGAUCCCUAGCUGGUCUGAGAGGAUGAUCAGCCACACUGGGACUGAGACACGGCCCAGACUCCUACGGGAGGCAGCAGUGGGGAAUAUUGGACAAUGGGCGAAAGCCUGAUCCAGCAAUGCCGCGUGAGUGAUGAAGGCCGUAGGGUUGUAAAGCUCUUUUACCCGGGAUGAUAAUGACAGUACCGGGAGAAUAAGCUCCGGCUAACUCCGUG
rnacentral:rRNA from 1 species